CUCUAAGGAGCAGUGAAACCCUGUCAAUGCGCUGUGUUCCCCAUAUCUCUCCCUCCCAGCCUGCUCUCCCCUCCAGACAAGAACAUGCGGUGAGCUAGGGGCCGGCUAGUAGCUUUCAGGCUCGCUUGCCAGUGGCCACCCGCGCUUGGGAACCAAACGGACAGUAACUUCAGUUCCCCCAGCGAACCUCUGGGCAACACCUGGCUGCAGAUCGCCGUGCCUUAGGAAAAACAGCCUCCCCCCGCCCCAACUCUGUCAGAGAGCAGCGAAGAGGAAAAAUGGGCACCGGGAAAACAAGCCGGAGUGCAGCAAAGGCAGAAGACAGAAAGCCAAAUCGAUGUAAACAAUUUAAAAGGUGUAAAGAUAUAUUUUCAAAUAAUCAGAUUUCAAAG